AACGUAGGAGGCAAGCGUUGUUCGGAAUUACUGGGCGUAAAGGGCGCGUAGGCGGCCAACUAAGUCAGACGUGAAAUCCCCAGGCUCAACCUGGGAACUGCGUCUGAUACUGGAUGGCUUGAGUGUGGGAGAGGGAUGCGGAAUUCCAGGUGUAGCGGUGAAAUGCGUAGAUAUCUGGAGGAACACCGGUGGCGAAGGCGGCAUCCUGGACCACGACUGACGCUGAGGAGCGAAAGCCAGGGGAGCAAACGGG
rnacentral:rRNA from 1 species